rnacentral:rRNA from 1 species
AGAUUAAGUUAUUAAGGGCGCACGGUGGAUGCCUUGGCACUAGAAGCCGAUGAAGGACGUUACUAACGACGAUAUGCUUUGGGGAGCUGUAAGUAAGCUUUGAUCCAGAGAUUUCCGAAUGGGGAAACCCAGCAUGAGUUAUGUCAUGUUAUCGAUAUGUGAAUACAUAGCAUAUCAGAAGGCACACCCGGAGAACUGAAACAGCUUAGUACCCGGAGGAAGAGAAAGAAAAGUCGAUUCCCUUAGUAGCGGCGAGCGAAACGGGAAGAGCCCAAACCAACAAGCUUGCUUGUUGGGGUUGUA